rnacentral:lncRNA from 1 species
AACCAUCUUCUACCUACACCAAAACUGAACCCAUAACAUCCAUUCCCAAUCCCUAUGAACCUAACAACUCUAACCUCCCCUUACCCCCUCCAACUAUUUAAUAUCACCGCCACAACACUUCUCGUUUAUGAGGCCUUACUUCUGAAUGAACCCAUUUCACCUCUCUCUUCAACUCCCUCAUCAGCACCUUACUAUGACCUAUCCUCUGACUCUGACCAUCCAGAAACCACUUAUCCUCUAUCUCUAACAUUGUUUUAACUCCAAGCCAUCGUACUGUCUGAUCAAACCCCAUAUAUGCCAGAAACCUCAAUGCCUUCCCCAUAUGAACAUCCAACAAAACCAUAAUCUGAACCUCAAAC